AGAAUGAACGCUGGCGGCAUGCCUAACACAUGCAAGUCGAACGAAGGCUUCGGCCUUAGUGGCGCACGGGUGCGUAACGCGUGGGAAUCUACCCUUCGGUUCGGAAUAACAGCUAGAAAUGGCUGCUAAUACCGGAUGACGACGUAAGUCCAAAGAUUUAUCGCCGAGGGAUGAGCCCGCGUAGGAUUAGCUAGUUGGUGUGGUAAAGGCGCACCAAGGCGACGAUCCUUAGCUGGUCUGAGAGGAUGAUCAGCCACACUGGGACUGAGACACGGCCCAGACUCCUACGGGAGGCAGCAGUGGGGAAUAUUGGACAAUGGGCGAAAGCCUGAUCCAGCAAUGCCGCGUGAGUGAUGAAGGCCUUAGGGUUGUAAAGCUCUUUUACCCGGGAUGAUAAUGACAGUACCGGGAGAAUAAGCUCCGGCUAACUCCGCGCCAGCAGCCGC
rnacentral:rRNA from 1 species